AUUAGGAUUAGCGUUUGGAUUAAUUGUAGACCAUUGUAACCAAUACUUUAUUGCAUACAAUGGCAUUACAACGCCAAUAAAUUAUUGGUUACAACGUGCGGAACGGCUGAUCUUGUUUGUUUCUAUCUUGACUAAUUAGGAAAAGCCUUGGAGUGGUUUACACUCGGAGAUAAAAACCUUGUCUAUUGUCACGCUUUUAUUCCCGAUUGUGAGGUCAAGUGAGCAUUUAAUACCUGAAGCUAGGAGCAU
rnacentral:lncRNA from 1 species